GAUAAUGUGGGUAGCCAUAUCCUAAAGUCACCAGAUCCUCUUUGAUCUUGAAAGCUAAGCAGGGUCAGUCCUGGAUAGUACUUGUAUGAGAGAUUGCUAGUGAAUCCCAGGCCAUUUUGACA
rnacentral:rRNA from 11 species